GGGGAAUAUUGCACAAUGGGGGAAACCCUGAUGCAGCGACGCCGCGUGGAGGAAGAAGGUCUUCGGAUUGUAAACUCCUGUUGUUGGGGAAGAUAAUGACGGUACCCAACAAGGAAGUGACGGCUAACUACGUGCCAGCAGCCGCGGUAAAACGUAGGUCACAAGCGUUGUCCGGAAUUACUGAGUGUAAAGGGAGCGCAGGCGGGAAGACAAGUUGGAAGUGAAAUCUAUGGGCUCAACCCAUAAACUGCUUUCAAAACUGUUUUUCUUGAGUAGUGCAGAGGUAGGCGGAAUUCCCGGUGUAGCGGUGGAAUGCGUAGAUAUCGGGAGGAACACCAGUGGCGAAGGCGGCCUACUGGGCACCAACUGACGCUGAGGCUCGAAAGUGUGGGUAGCAAACAGGAUUAGAUACCCUGGUAGUCCACACCGUAAACGAUGAUUACUAGGUGUUGGAGGAUUGACCCCUUCAGUGCCGCAGUUAACACAAUAAGUAAUCCACCUGGGGAGUACGACCGCAAGGUUGAAACUCAAAGGAAUUGACGGGGGCCCGCACAAGCAGUGGAGUAUGUGGUUUAAUUCGACGCAACGCGAAGAACCUUACCAAGUCUUGACAUCCCUUGACAGACAUAGAAAUAUGUAAUCUCUUCGGAGCAAGGAGACAGGUGGUGCAUGGUUGUCGUCAGCUCGUGUCGUGAGAUGUUGGGUUAAGUCCCGCAACGAGCGCAACCCUUAUGGUCAGUUACUACGCAAGAGGACUCUGGCCAGACUGCCGUUGACAAAACGGAGGAAGGUGGGGAUGACGUCAAAUCAUCAUGCCCUUUAUGACUUGGGCUACACACGUACUACAAUGGCGUUAAACAAAGAGAAGCAAGACCGCGAGGUGGAGCAAAACUCAGAAACAACGUCCCAGUUCGGACUGCAGGCUGCAACUCGCCUGCACGAAGUCGGAAUUGCUAGUAAUCGUGGAUCAGCAUGCCACGGUGAAUACGUUCCCG
rnacentral:rRNA from 1 species